CCUACGGGAGGCAGCAGUAGGGAAUAUUGCUCAAUGGGGGAAACCCUGAAGCAGCAACGCCGCGUGGAGGAGGAAGGUUUUAGGAUUGGAAACUCCUUUUGUUAGAGAAGAUUAUGACGGUAUCUAACCAAUAAUCACCGGAUAACUCCGUGCCAGCAGCCGCGGUAAUACGGAGGGAGCAAGCGUUACUCGGAAUCACUGGGCGUAAAGAGUGCGUAGGGGGGGUAAUAAGUCAGAUGUGAAAUCCUGUAGCUUAACUACAGAACUGCCGUUGAAACUGUUACUCUCGAGUGGGGGAGAGGUAGGUGGAAUUCUCGGUGUAGGGGUAAAAUCCGUAGAGAUCAAGAGGAACACUCAUUGCGAAGGCGACAUGCUGGAACAUUACUGACGCUGAUGCACGAAAGCGUGGGGAGCAAACAGGAUUAGAUACCCUUGUAGUC
rnacentral:rRNA from 1 species